AUUUCCCCCCCCCCCAGCGCCUGCUUUUUUGUCUUGGACUGCAGAGCGAUCGCUGAACGAGCUGGCGGCCACCGAUUGAAAGGGGGUGGCACAGAAACAGCGCUCCGCGUGUGGGGCGAGGCGAGCGGCGGCGGAGUGCGGCUCUCAUUCAUCACAACUCUGGCACAAUCGCAAGAUGAAGCUGCUGGUUGGAGUCACCGGCGAGACGCCGACGGCACUCAAAUUGCAAAUGUCGUGGGAGAGUGCUGCUCGGGGUGGUGGUGGUGGUGUUGGGAGCGCAGCUGUCGUCCGUAAUUCGAUGAAAAUGAACCACGAGCCACGAGAUCGCUGAGCUUCCGAUGUGAUGGAAGCGCAGGCGAGU